rfam:Toxocara canis scaffold948, whole genome shotgun sequence.
CCAAACAUAGCUCAGCUGGUAGAGCGGAGGACUGUAGAUUAAUGGCUGAGAUCCUUAGGUCGCUGGUUCGAAUCCGGCUGGUUGGA